rnacentral:rRNA from 1 species
UGGCGGACGGGUGAGUAAUGUCUGGGAAACUGCCUGAUGGAGGGGGAUAACUACUGGAAACGGUAGCUAAUACCGCAUAACGUCGCAAGACCAAAGAGGGGGACCUUCGGGCCUCUUGCCAUCGGAUGUGCCCAGAUGGGAUUAGCUAUUAGGUGGGGUAACGGCUCACCUAGGCGACGAUCCCUAGCUGGUCUGAGAGGAUGACCAGCCACACUGGAACUGAGACACGGUCCAGACUCCUACGGGAGGCAGCAUG